AGUGAACGCUGGCGGUAGGCCUAACACAUGCAAGUCGAACGGCAGCACAGUAAGAGCUCGCUCUUACGGGUGGCGAGUGGCGGACGGGUGAGGAAUACAUCGGAAUCUACUUUUUCGUGGGGGAUAACGUAGGGACACUUACGCUAAUACCGCAUACGACCUACGGGUGAAAGCAGGGGAUCUUCGGACCUCGCGCGAUUGAAUGAGCCGAUGUCGGAUUAGCUAGUUGGCGGGGUAAAGGCCCACCAAGGCGACGAUCCGUAGCUGGUCUGAGAGGAUGAUCAGCCACACUGGAACUGAGACACGGUCCAGACUCCUACGGGAGGCAGCAGUGGGGAAUAUUGGACAAUGGGCGCAAGCCUGAUCCAGCCAUGCCGCGUGGGUGAAGAAGGUCUUCGGGUUGUAAAGCCCUUUUGUUGGGAAGGAAGAGCAGCAGGUUAAUACCCCGCUGUUCUGACGGUACCCAAAGAAUAAGCACCGGCUAACUUCGUG
rnacentral:rRNA from 1 species